rnacentral:lncRNA from 1 species
AUUAAAAAAAAAAAAAAAAAAAAAAAAAAAAAAUAAAAAACAAAGAAAAAAAUAUAAAAAAAAAAGAAGGAAAAGACAGCACCAAAAAAGAAAAAAAAGACAAUACCUCUAAAACAGACAAAGAGAAUAAAACCCCAGUAAAAAUAACCGAUGUAAAAAUUAAUAAAAAUGCCACGCAAGAGAAGAACAAAAAGAAGAAGAAAUCAAAACAAAUGUAAAUGGAAAUGGUAAAGAUAUGGAUACAGCUGUAACAGAUGCUACAUCUACUACAGCUACAACGACUGAUAUAAUAAGAGACAAUCGUAUAGACGAAUUUUUAAGAUUUGAUUCUCCUAUAAUUCGAUGUAGAAGUAGUAAUGAAUAUAUGUCGCCUAGAAAAAGGAAAUCAGAAAAUUUAUUGUAUAGUUAUAGAAGUAAAGACUUAGGUGAUAUUAUUAAAUCAUUUGAGUAUACACCAGAUUCUGGUGACGAAAAAGAAAAUGAAAAAAAAAGAAAAAGAGAAAAAAAAGAGGCGCAAUUAAGUCAUUGUUUGCAUAUUUUUAUCAAAAAAUAUUCAACUAAACGUUGA